GUUACUGUGCUUCACAGGAUCAUUUCUGUAGGCAAGUUUUCACCACAAGUUUUUUCCGAAAGGAAAAGAUUUCCCACCCACGAUGAUGAGACACUGGUGACCAGUUCGGAGCGUGAGUGGG
rnacentral:snoRNA from 2 species